AUCAUGGCUCAGGAUGAACGCUGGCGGCGUGCCUAAUACAUGCAAGUAGAACGCUGAAGAAAGGAGCUUGCUCUUUUGGAUGAGUUGCGAACGGGUGAGUAACGCGUAGGUAACCUGCCUUGUAGCGGGGGAUAACUAUUGGAAACGAUAGCUAAUACCGCAUAACAGCUUUUGACACAUGUUAGAAGCUUGAAAGAUGCAAUUGCAUCACUACGAGAUGGACCUGCGUUGUAUUAGCUAGUAGGUAGGGUAACGGCCUACCUAGGCGACGAUACAUAGCCGACCUGAGAGGGUGAUCGGCCACACUGGGACUGAGACACGGCCCAGACUCCUACGGGAGGCAGCAGUGGGGAAUAUUGCACAAUGGGGGAAACCCUGAUGCAGCAACGCCGCGUGAGUGAUGACGGCCUUCGGGUUGUAAAGCUCUGUCUUCAGGGACGAUAAUGACGGUACCUGAGGAGGAAGCCACGGCUAACUACGUG
rnacentral:rRNA from 1 species